AUGACAACUAAAUAAAGGUACCAUGUUUGUAGACUGGAAACUCAAUAUGAUUAAGAUGUCAGUUCUGCAAUUUCACUCAUGAGGUCAAUAGCAGUACCUAUCUCACAGGGUAAUUAAGAUAACUGAUGCCUCUGAUAAAAAUGACAUGUUAAAAACAUGUCAUUAUUUGUGCUACAAUUUUAUUACCUGAUCCUUAAUUCUUAGGUUUUAUGUUUUCAGAAGAAAAAUGAGGUGAAGGCUUGGAUAUUGAAUGAUCUCAGGCUUUAUAUAUUGAAUAUUUAAAAACCAGAAUUAUUUAUAUAAAGAUGUUUGUAAGUUUAUUUUUAUAUUGUUGUGUAAUCAAUAAGA
rnacentral:lncRNA from 10 species